rnacentral:sRNA from 1 species
GACCUCCAGGCUCCCGCCCGCGCUCGCCGCACGCACGCGCACUGCGCCCAGCAUGAGGGUCGCGGCUCUGAUCAGUGGUGGGAAGGACAGCUGCUAUAAUAUGAUGCAGUGCAUUGCUGCUGGGCAUCAGAUCGUUGCUUUAGCAAAUCUAAGACCAGCUGAAAACCAAGUGGGGUCUGAUGAACUGGAUAGCUACAUGUAUCAGACAGUGGGGCACCAUGCCAUUGACUUGUAUGCAGAAGCAAUGGCUCUUCCCCUCUAUCGCCGAACCAUAAGAGGAAGGAGCUUGGAUACAAGACAAGUGUACACCAAAUGUGAAGGUGAUGAGGUUGAAGAUCUCUAUGAGCUUUUGAAACUUGUUAAGGUAUGCAGAGUAACCAAUUAAGUAUAUUGGAUUUAGUGUGUAAUUUAACAAAUUACAUUUGCCGAAUUAUUUAGUAAUCCUUAAUUUGCAAUUGUUAGUAGCCCAACUAUUCUUUAAAAGGAUUUUGUCUUUUUUUGGUUAGAAAAAAACUGCAAAUGAUUAGUAUGCCUUUAUAUUAAAUGAUAUUUAAAA